UCGCACCUGGAGUAUGGUGGUGCCUAAUGGCAGCGGCUCAACUGCAGUCCGUCUGUCUUUUUUUUUUUUUGUCCAUUAGAUGUAUGUUUUUGGUUCUAAUUUUUAUUAUUUUUUAGC